rnacentral:lncRNA from 1 species
CUGCUGUUAAAACCACAGGCUGCUGGAGCAGAGAGGUUAAAGGGUAAUACCACUGUUUUUUUCUUCAGGGCUUUUCCUCUGUGCAUAGACUCUGAAUUCUUAGAAAUGAAUGUUUCUCUCUUUUUUGGCUCAGAGGAGGAUUUCUCAGUCUGAGAUGAUCAGCGAGACGAAACUUUGGUUUAAGCAUCUGCAUAUAAAAUCGCUUUUUUCAUGAUGUUACACGUAUUUUUGAUAAACGCAGGUCCAAUAAGUUGUACAAACACCUCAAAUACAAAAAGGUUUCAGGAUAUUUGCAGGUUUACAACUGAACACAGUAUAAAUUUAAAGGGAUAUUCCGGGUUGAAUACACACCGUAACACCAAUUAGACACCCCCAACUUUAGUAACGACCGCAGGAUAGUAAUACAGAGAGCCACGCCCCCAACCAAAAUGCCACUCUAUAGCCACAAACAAUGCUCAGAACAGCACCUAACUUCAUCAACAGGACAUAUAGGGUCACAGACAUAGUACUAGACACCAAACAUCUUUUUAACUUUGACUCAUUUCUUUAGCUAAGAGACUAAAUACAACUCACCUACUCUCUUCCAGCAGACGCUUGUUUGUAGGGAGACCUCAGGCCAGUCCAUUACAGAUUACAUCGGGGUGCCGCAGCUCAAGGAAGAACAUUUAUCAUCAUUUCUUUAUCAUUUCAAUGGAGAAAUGAUCAUAAAUGUUCUUCCUUGAGCUGCGGCACCCCGCUGUAGUCCCUAAUGAACUGGCCUGAGGUCUAGUCGGUAUAAAAUAUGAUAUUCACACAUUCUUAGAUAUUAAAAACGGUUAAAGUCGUCUAUUAUCUAAUUCCUGCUCUUGCUUGUUGUCUGUAAACCUUGGGGACUCUCUCCCUGGCCUUGAAUACAGACCCUCACUUACUUCGCUCUCCUCCAUAUUUCGCUGCUGCACAGAGAGUUAUGGGUCAGGUUACCCAGCAUGCACUGCUGCUUGCACACUGCAACUUGCAACUUUUGCAUGUUGUUUUGGCAAAGAUAGAUUACUUGCAGUAACUGGAUUGCUAAGAUGAGUUUUACCAGACUUUGUAAACGUGUCCUGUAGUAAAGAGCUGCCAGUCUGAUGAAUCAAGUCUGAUGAAUUGUUAAUUAUCAUUAUUGGGUUAAAUGAUUCAGAUCCAGAGUGACGCGCUUUGGUUUCAAACUUCCACCUGUGUUUCUCUGGAGGAUAAAAAUGUCCCGUUUUCAAACUUCUUUUCCCUUGAUUUGAUUUUUUAAAGUAAAAACGUAUUUAUUCUUCCUCAGCGAAGUGAAAUAUUCAGAAAUAUUUUAUUCAUAAAGGACUUUGAAAACUCUUGGUGUCUGAGUGUUUUACAAGCACAGACAUCAAAACAAACAGAGAAGUGAAAUUGAGGAUUACAUAAAGGCUGCUCUGCUAAAUGAGAUUUUAGGGGUUCUUGGAGGAUUCAGAGGAAAGUUAGUCCUAGAGGAGACGAACUGUCACCUCAUGAUUAUUGUAGCUGUAAAAUAUCACCAUAACGAUGAUCAAGAUAUUUGUGGAAAACAAGGAUAGAGCAAAACAAAACUUCAUAAACUUAACUGAUAAAUGCAAAUAACUUAUAAUCAUUAUCUGUCAGUAAUAAUGUUAAAAUGUAGGAUUGAAGAGGAUUUAAGACCGAUUUAUUUCUUCAUGAAAAUACAAUCGAAGUCCAUAAUGGACUGGCCUGAGGUCUCCCUACAAACAAGCGUCUGCUGGAAGAGAGUAGGUGAGUUGUGUUUAGUCUCUUUGCUAAACAAAUGAGUCAAAGUUAAAAAGAUGUUUGGUGUCUAGUACUAUGUCUGUGACCCUAUAUGUCCUGUUGAUGAAGUUAGGUGCUGUUCUGAGCAUUAUUUGUGGCUAUAGAGUGGCGUUUUGGUUGAGGGCGUGGCUCUCUGUAUUGCUAUCCUGCGGUCGUUACUAAAGUUGGUAUAACUAGAGAAGCAAGCGGUCGGCAACAUUCAUCUCUGGAGGGGGGGUCUAACUCUGUGUUACGGUGGGUUUGACCUUAAAUUAAUUUUACGCCGGAAUAUCCCUUUAAUAAGAAUUCUAGUCCGUUUCAUGACCAGUUAAAAAACUCCUUAUACGGGCUUUAAUCUCAACAAAGUAGCUGUCAGGAUGUCAGCUGUCCUCCAGACCUCUGUAAUUGUUCAGGUUGGAGUUUAUCUAUCUGAAGAUGAUUGAUGUGGAGCUCAGAUUUAGAUUUCUGUUGCACUUCUAUCAGACUCUGUAUCUCACACGUGUAAGCAGCAUCAGUCUGCAGUAUUUCCUCCUCUUCCUCUGCAGCUGCACCUCUCCGGGUCUUUUAGGAGUAUUCGUCCGAUUGUAACGGGGCAGCGGUGCAUAAAGCCGACAAGACUCAGAGCAACUGGUCUGUUUACAGCAGUGACCCGGCUAAUUGAAAAGAUCCCAUAAACUCUGCAGAACAGGCAAUGAAACUCCUCUGAGUUACGACCCCGCGCCUCACCGCCCUCAAUAAACUAAUCUGACCACGUGCUGUUUCCAACAUCAGGACCGAGCGAGCCGGGUUUAUCCGAGCCGGGGUCAGGAGCAAAGAUGUAGACGGUCGUUUGUUAAUCUGAAGAUUUGCUCCGGGUGAAAUGAGUACGAGGACCUCAGAGGAAAACCCUGAAGGAAACGAAGACGAGAAGCUGUAUUAGAG